UACGUAGGGCGCAAGCGUUGUCCGGAAUUAUUGGGCGUAAAGAGCUCGUAGGUGGCGUGUCGCGUCUGCCGUGAAAGCCCAUGGCUUAACUGUGGGUCUGCGGUGGAUACGGGCAGGCUGGAGGCUGGUAGGGGCAAGCGGAAUUCCUGGUGUAGCGGUGAAAUGCGCAGAUAUCAGGAGGAACACCGGUGGCGAAGGCGGCUUGCUGGGCCAGUUCUGACGCUGAGGCGCGAAGGCGUGGGGAGCGAACGGG
rnacentral:rRNA from 1 species